AGAGUUUGAUCCUGGCUCAGGAUGAACGCUAGCGGCAGGCUUAACACAUGCAAGUCGAGGGGUAUAGUAGCAAUACUAGAGACCGGCGCACGGGUGCGUAACGCGUAUGCAAUCUACCUUUUGCAGAGGGAUAGCCCAGAGAAAUUUGGAUUAAUACCUCAUAGUAUAGUACAAUCGCAUGAUUGAACUAUUAAAGUCACAACGGCAAAAGAUGAGCAUGCGUCCCAUUAGCUUGUUGGUAAGGUAACGGCUUACCAAGGCAACGAUGGGUAGGGGUCCUGAGAGGGAGAUCCCCCACACUGGUACUGAGACACGGACCAGACUCCUACGGGAGGCAGCAGUGAGGAAUAUUGGACAAUGGGCGCAAGCCUGAUCCAGCCAUGCCGCGUGCAGGAUGACGGUCCUAUGGAUUGUAAACUGCUUUUGCACAGGAAGAAACAACUCUACGUGUAGAGUCUUGACGGUACUGUGAGAAUAAGGAUCGGCUAACUCCGUGCCAGCAGCCGCGGUAAUACGGAGGAUCCAAGCGUUAUCCGGAAUCAUUGGGUUUAAAGGGUCCGUAGGCGGUCUUAUAAGUCAGUGGUGAAAUCUCCCCGCUCAACGGGGAAACGGCCAUUGAUACUGUAAGACUUGAAUUAUUAGGAAGUAACUAGAAUAUGUAGUGUAGCGGUGAAAUGCUUAGAGAUUACAUGGAAUACCAAUUGCGAAGGCAGGUUACUACUAAUAGAUUGACGCUGAUGGACGAAAGCGUGGGUAGCGAACAGGAUUAGAUACCCUGGUAGUCCACGCCGUAAACGAUGGAUACUAGCUGUUGGGAGCAAUCUCAGUGGCUAAGCGAAAGUGAUAAGUAUCCCACCUGGGGAGUACGUUCGCAAGAAUGAAACUCAAGGAAUUGACGGGGGCCCGCACAAGCGGUGGAGCA
rnacentral:rRNA from 1 species